rnacentral:misc_RNA from 1 species
GCUAGAGCCUACACAACAGGUAUGCAAAGCGCAAUAGCCAUAGUUCCAAACUGUUUUGUGACCAGAACUCAUUACUAUUCUUGGACCCAUACAUUGGACUUUAUUUAUUACAGAAAUGUGCUUUCUAUACAAUGUCUCCAAAUAUAUGACAUAUUACUAGGACACAUUAAAUAGUAUUCUGCAUUACUACUAAUCAAAUACAAACAUUUUUUUUAACUUAAUAAGUCCAGAAACCAAAACCUUGGUCUUCAACUGGAAAUCCAAAGUAACUCAAAUUUGAUGAUGUCGCGGGAUAAUCAUCAUCCGCGUCUUUGCCAAGUAGGUUGGCAGUAGAAAGCAUAUUCUUGCUGAAGUUUUCAUCAUCAUCCUGAGAUGAAUCCGACUGAUCAGUUUCAAAUGCGCGAGCAGAAUCAUCCUGAUCUACGACUGAGGAAUGCAUUCUACUGGUGUAACGUGGGCUUUCUGAGUCGAAAACAUCACUCUUAGCAGAGCUUAAAUCUUCCUGCUGGUGCUUAACAACCAGAGCUGGUACAUUGGACAUUGGAUCAACCACGGUUUCUUUUGCCAAUGCAUUGGAGUGUUUGUGUUCAUCGCGCAAAUCCAAUUGCCCAUUUCCUUUCUCUUUGAUAAACAGCUUACCGGUGAGACGGAAAACUUCAGUUCGAAGAUCUUCUUUUUCCUUGAGAAGAUUAUUGUAAUUUGAUUUCAGAGUAUCGUAUCUAUUCCUCAAUUCAUCAUAAUCUUUCUCGAGCUGCUUAGUCUUCCAUCGCGCACGACGAUUCUGAAACCAAAUUGCAAUUUGGCGAGGCUGCAGACCAAGUUCUUUAGCAAGCUGAACUUUUCUUUCUGGUUCAAGUUUGUUCUCUUCCCCAAAACUCUUCUCAAGAAACUGAACUUGGUUGUCAGUAAGUCGCCUCUUCUUCUCCGCUUGAUGAAGAUAUUCCCCCAAUUCAUCAGCUUCAUUGUCAUCCUGAUCGAACGAAUCAAAGAAUGAUCUCUUCCCUCCAUUAACACCGCGAAAACUCACCAUAGAACUGGAUCCCAAGAAAUUAGAAGAA